rnacentral:rRNA from 1 species
UACGUAGGGGGCUAGCGUUGUCCGGAAUCAUUGGGCGUAAAGAGCGUGUAGGCGGCCCGGUAAGUCCGCUGUAAAAGUCAAAGGCUCAACCUUUGAAUGUCAGUGGAUACUGCCGGGCUAGAGUCCGGAAGAGGCGAGUGGAACUCCUGGUGUAGCGGUGGAAUGCGCAGAUAUCAGGAGGAACACCAGCGGCGAAGGCGGCGCUCUGGGCCGGAACUGACGCUGAGGAGCGAAAGCGUGGGUAGCAAACAGG